GUAGGGGGCUAUUAUGGCUGUUGGAGCUUCAAAGCCUACUUCUAUUGCUGAUAAGGAUGGAUAUUUCAGUGUGAAAAGUCAAAUGCUGCAUUUCAAUUGGUCAAGCCAGACAUGGUAUCUUCUAUAUUCCACUUCUUUUAGCAGUCACAAGUUGGCUAAAACUCGAUAAGCAGAGCUUGGGCUCGGGCUUGAGCUAGCUUAAGCUCUACUCGUUUGCACCCCUACCUGUGAUUCAUGUGACUAAUCCUUGAGUUCUGCUGGAUAAAACCUCAAGACAAGUACCUACUUAUGGGAUUCUUGGACAGAUAUCUUUACUCAAUGACAUUAAGAGUAGAAAUGAGGGUAAAAAGGAGGGAUGCAGAGGUAUGGAUGUCCCACAAGAUGCUUCCUGAGGAUCUGAAGGAAGGUGUGACACUCUAUGAACAAAAGAAAACGGGAAGUCAAUGAAGAAUCUCUUGUUCACAAGCUGCCCGAGGACUUAUGGAAGGACAUAAAGCUCAAUGGACAUUACAACCGGCAACCAAACUGCCAAAUUGUUCAUGUAAAAUAACAUCAGGCAUAUAUAAUAAUAUUUCAUACUGCUCCAAGUAUAGAAAAAAACCCACAAAUCAGUAGCAUCACAAGGCUGUUUGGAAGGUUUUAUUAUCAAACCCUUAUAUUGCCUUUUCCAUUGUAAUUGACCCCUUUAUUUUUUAUUUGAUUACAUUGUAAUAUUGAGUUUGGACAUAUGUUAAUAUAUAUAAGGGUAUCUUUUGUAUUUUUCUUA